AGGGAAAGGUGAAAAGAACCCCUAUUAGGGGAGUGAAAUAGAACCUGAAACUGCAUGCCUACAAUCAGUCCGAGCCCUUUUUAGGGUGAGGGCGUACCUUUUGUAUAAUGGGUCAGUGACUUAAUUUAUUAAGCAAGCUUAAGCCAUCUAGGUGUAGGCGCAGCGAAAGCAAGUCUUAAUAGGGCGAUUAGUUUAAUGAAUUAGACCCGAAAACGAAUGAGCUUACCAUGAGCAGGUUGAAAGUUGGGUAACACCAACCGGAGGACCGAACCAGUUGACGUUGAAAAGUCUUUGGAUGACUUGUGGUAAGGGGUGAAAGGCCAACCAAAUUCGUAGAUAGCUGGUUUUCCGCGAAAACUAUUUAGGUAGUGCGUUGAAUAAAUAGAUGUUUAGAGGUAGAGCACUAAAUGGGCUAGGGGGAAGAGAUUCUUACCAAACCUAAUAAAACUCCGAAUGCUAGACAUUGUUCUUCAACAGACAGACUGUGGGUGCUAAGGUCCAUGGUCGAGAGGGAAAGAGCCCAGACCACCAGAUAAGGUCCCCAAAUUAUGAUUAAGUGUGAAAGGAUGUGGAAAUUCCUUAACAGCCGGGAGGUUGGCUUAGAAGCAGCCAUCCUUUAAAGAUAGCGUAACAGCUCACCGGUCUAAUAGAGUUUCUGCGCCGAAGAUGUAACGGGGCUAAAAUCAUGUACCGAAUCUGUGGCUUUGCAAAGUUUUCGAACUUUGUAAGGGGUAGCGGAACGUUCUGUAAGCCUGUGAAGGGAUACCCGUGAGGGAUCCUGGAGGUAUCAGAAGUGCGAAUGCUGACAUAAGUAACGAUAAAAGAAGUGAAAAACUUCUUCGCCGAAAAUCCAAGGGUUUCUGCGCAAGGUUAAUCCGCGCAGAGUUAGUCGGCACCUAAGGCGAGGGCGAAAGCCGUAGUCGAUGGAAACAAGGUUAAUAUUCCUUGACCUGAUGGUAGUGACGGAUUUCGUAAGUUGUGAGUUCUUAAUGGAUUGAACUUGCCGCGAAGAGGUCCCAAGAAAUAGCUCCAUCAUGAAGACCGUACCCGAAACCGACACAGGUAGAUUAAUAGAGUAUAUUUAGGCGCUUGAGAGAAUGAUGUUGAAGGAACUCGGCAAAAUGCUUCCGUAACUUCGGGAUAAGGAAGACCCUUUUGUAGGCAACUAUAGAAGGGUGGCACAAGCCAGGGAGAAGCGACUGUUUAUCAAAAACACAGGGCUCUGCUAACACGUAAGUGGAUGUAUAGGGUCUGACGCCUGCCCGGUGCUGGAAGGUUAAUGCGGUUGGUGCAAGCUAACUUCUGAAGCCCCAGUAAACGGCGGCCGUAACUAUAACGGUCCUAAGGUAGCGAAAUUCCUUGUCGGGUAAGUUCCGACCUGCAUGAAUGGCGUAACGAUUUCUCCGCUGUCUCCAACAUCAACUCAGUGAAAUUGAAUUCUCCGUGAAGAUGCGGAGUUCGCGUAGUUAGACGGAAAGACCCCGUGCACCUUUACUGCAACUUUACAUUGGUAUUAGGAAAAACAUAUUUAGUAUAGGAGGGAGACAUUGAAGCAAAGGCGUCAGCUUUUGUGGAGUCACCAGUGAAAUACCUCUUUUGUUUUUCUUGGUAUCUAACUGAUUGCCGUCAUCCGGCAUCAAGACAUUGUAUGGUGGGUAGUUUGACUGGGGCGGUCGCCUCCCAAAUAGUAACGGAGGCGUGCGAAGGUAGGCUCAGAACGGUCAGAAAUCGUUCGUAGAGUGCAAUGGCAUAAGCCUGCCUGACUGUGAGACUGACAAGUCGAGCAGAGACGAAAGUCGGUCAUAGUGAUCCGGUGGUUCUGAGUGGAAGGGCCAUCGCUCAACGGAUAAAAGGUACGCCGGGGAUAACAGGCUGAUACUGCCCAAGAGUCCAUAUCGACGGCAGUGUUUGGCACCUCGAUGUCGGCUCAUCACAUCCUGGGGCUGGAGCAGGUCCCAA
rnacentral:rRNA from 1 species